CGUUCAAUCACAUCCUUCAUAUGAGAAACCCUGUUCAACCCAUAUUUGAAUUUAACAAGAUCUUAUCUUCUCUUGUUAAGUUGAACCAUUUUCAUACUGCUAUUUCCUUUUCUAAACAAAUGGAACUCAAACAAAUUCAACCUGACUUAUUUACUUUCAACAUCUUGAUUAAUUGUUUCUGCCACUUGGGCCACCUCAAUUUUGCUUUUUCUGUAUUGGCCAAGAUUUUUAAGCUAGGGUUUCACCCUGAUACUGUAACAAUCACUACACUUAUCAAAGGUCUAUGUCUUAAUGGUAAGGUUAGGGAAGCCCUUCACUUUCAUGACGAUGUCAUAGCAAAGGGGUUUCACCUUGAUCAGGUUAGUUAUGGGACCUUGAUCAAUGGAUUAUGUAAAACAGGAGAAACAAGAGCUGCCCUGCAGGUUCUUAGAAAAAUUGAUGGGCUGUUGGUUCAGCCUAAUGUAGUCAUGUACAAUACAAUUAUUGAUAGUUUGUGCAAGGAUAAACUUGUAAUUCAUGCCUCUGAUUUAUGUUCUGAAAUGAUUGUUAAGAGAAUUUUUCCAGAUGUUGUCACUUAUACUACUCUAAUAUAUGGCUGUUUGAUUGUGGGUCGAUUGAAAGAAGCAGUUGGUUUGUUCAAUCAAAUGUUGUUGAAAAACAUUAAACCAGACGUUUAUACAUUUAAUAUAUUGGUUGAUGGUUUAUGUAAGGAAGGAGAGAUGAAAAAAGCUAGAAAUGUGUUAGCUGUUAUGAUAAAACAAGGUGUGGAUUCUAAUAUUGUUACUUAUAAUUCUUUAAUGGAUGGGUAUUUCUUGGUCAAACAAGAGAAUAAGGCCACAUUUGUGUUCAACACUAUGGCUAGAAGGGGAGUGACUCCUGAUGUUCAAAGCUACAGUAUUAUGAUUAAUGGACUAUGCAAGACUAAAAUGGUGGAUGAAGCCGUUAAUCUCUUCAAAGAAAUGCAUUCCAAAAGUAUGGCUCCUAAUACUGUAACAUACAAUUCACUUAUCGAUGGUCUUCUCAAAUAUGGGAGAAUCUCUGAUGCUUGGGAUCUUGUAAAUGAGAUGCAUAAUAGAGGCCAACCUGCCGAUGUGAUCACUUACAGUUCCUUAUUGGAUGCUUUGUGCAAAAACCAUCAGGUUGACAAGGCAAUCACAUUAAUAACGAAGAUCAAAGACCAAGGAAUUCAGCCAAAUAUUUAUACUUACACUAUACUUGUUGAUGGACUAUGCAAAAAUGGAAGACUUAAGGAUGCACAAGCGGUUUAUCAGGAUCUUCUUAUUAAGGGCUAUCAUUUAGAUGUUAAAAUGUAUAAUGUGAUGGUCAAUGGGCUUUGUAAAGAGGGCUUGUUUGAUGAAGCACUGUCCUUAGUGUCAAAAAUGGAAGACAACGGUUGCAUACCUGAUGCUGUAACUUAUGAAACUCUUGUCCGUGCUUUGUUCGAGAACGAUAAGAAUGAUAAGGCGGUGAAACUUCUACGUGAAAUGAUUGCUAGAGGUAUAUUGUAAUGUAAAACCAGGUGAGAUAUGAGUUCAAGUUACAAUUUGUCAUUUUGAAUUUGAAAACAAAUAUCUAAUCAGUAAUCUUUAUUUCUUUUCAUAGUUAUAAAAGAUGGUUAGUGCAAUUGACCCACUCUUACAUUUUUUUUUUUAAUUAAGAGUUACACAUUGCUAGUUUCAUUAUGAUAUUUGUAACAACAAUUGUGGUCGACAUUUUUUAUUCCUUAAUAACUAUCCUUUUCUUCCCAAAUUGUUGUGAAUCUGCUUCAUCAAUUUUCAAGGAUUGUUUUUAUUCACUGUCAUGUUCAGAGUUCAAUUUAUUUAUAUUUAAUAGAAUCAAUGAAAUGAGAGAUGUUGUAACACAGAUAUAUUUUAGAAUAUGGAAGGGUAAUUGAAGUGUAAACAGAAAGAAAAUCUGAUAGGAUCACUACCAGUCAAGCCAAAUGGCUCUCUCAACAGCGUACAUUCACCCCGAGCAAUCCUCUAACUAUAACAGAAUUCUAUUGUGAUUCUUUUCUCAAAAGUAUUCCUCAUAUAACUACCUUCCACACCUCACUCUCACAAUCCCUCGUUAUUAAUUUCCUGCCAGCUCAACAUCCUUGAUCUUCCCUUGUUUUGUGUGAUACACCCUCCACUCUUCGGGACUGUUCUCACUUUCAUUAAGGGUGACACGCCCAUUCCCUUUAUUUCUAUCAAAUAUUUUAUGAAUGUUUCUUGCGUCUUUAUAGAAAAAGGGAGAAGUUAACCAACAACCCUCUUUUUGUUACUUGAGACUUACCUUGCUUUUCUGUCAAGGCAACCAUAGUUAUAGAUGUAAUUUUUUAAUUGAGUAGAGCAGACAUACAUGAAGCAAUUUGUGGAUAGAGGAGUCGAUCUACUGUUCGAUCAUCUAUUUUUUAGCAAACGUGGCAGUGUUGUUGGAUCUAGGUGCAAGGAAGUGCAGUUGGAUCCAACAUCUCUUCAAAUUCAAUGCUCUGUGUCUACCAGGCAGCACCUUUAGCUAGUUUUGGAGUAUUUUGGUUCAUUUUUGGUCUUGCAUCUUUAGGAUUAGAUGCAUUUAAAAUUCAACUUCCAGAGCAAGCUUGCAUGCACCACUUUUACAUUUUCCCGGUCGAAAAGGGUAAUGGGACAUAAAUCAAGUUAUUGAUAAUAAGUUUCUGUUUUUUCCUGUUUCAAAGCUCUUAAAGUCAUAUGUCUUUUAGAUUACAAGCUUCUAUUUUACUGUUUCAAAGAGCCUAACACAUUCCUUCAAAAAGAAAAAAAGCCUAACACAUUGUGUAAUAAAUCUAAUGACUAAUGAUAUCAAGUUAAUGAUUAUAAGCUUCAAUUUUUCCAGUUUCGAAGAUCUUAAUGUCCUAUGUCAAUUAGAUAUACAUGAUGAUUUGUUGUAAUAAAUGCAUCUAAAGCUUAUUUCAAUUCUCUCUUUUGUCGUCCUGUAUAUUAUAUUUAUCUUAGUCAUAUAGAUUCAAAAUGAAAAAGAUAGAACCUAUAUUUGUAGCAUGUGUAAAAAUUAACCAGAUCCACGCUCUUCAUACGUUGGAGUGAUUACGUGCAUACAACUGAAGAGUUUGAUCUUCACAUACCUAGCUAGUUGUAAAAGGGGAAACUUUUGUUGAAUGCACAAAAUGAAACAUCUGAAAGAGAACUAACUUCACUGUUGAAUAGACAAAAUGAAACAUCUGAAACAUCUAGAAAGCCGAUAUAUUAAGAGGUAUGAACCAGUGUUGUUGAAUAUCGGCCAUGGAGGCGCCAUGGCGGAUAUCAGUGGCGGAAUUUCAACAGGGUGCCAUAGAAAGGAGGUGGUGUGGCGGAUUGUUGCAACGCUGGUUUGAUUUUUUAUACUUUACAUUUCAAUGAAUUGUUUCAAUCUAUUGUCGUCCUCCGUCUGCCUUACUAAUAAUUUGAUAAAUAUUUGUGCUUAGAAGAUUUCAGAGUAUCCUAAUAGUGGAGAUUAAACAAGCUUCAUGUAUCCAAGGUAGGGAGGUGAUACUGAAAAUUUUAAUCUUGGAAGGACUUUUUACCUCAGACAAACUUAGUUAGUGCAUGUCUUGGACGGUGUCCUGUAGGGGCCCUUAGACACUAUGUGAAACCUUGUCUUUUUGAAUAGCAAAUGUAGGGCUGAUACAGUGAAAGAAACACUCCGUUAUUGAGAUAGCAUGCCUACUACCUACUAAGUUUUGAUUAAACAUCUUGGUCCCUCUGCAGUUUCUAGAUUAAAACUUAGUGAAUAUUUGGGAGGUUUAUUAGUUGUCUCCCCAACCUUCAUAGUUGAGAUCGGUGAGAUCAUAGCGUCUUAUUGAGAUUUUCCUUGUUCUUCCAAGAUCACAGUGAAGUAAAGAGAUUUUCCUCAGCCAUCAUACAUAUCUUGGUAUAUAAGAUUGUAUAUAUUAGUGGAUAAGGAAAGGGAAGCCUUAUAAAUUCGUCUUUUCAAUAUUCUGUCGUUUUUGUUCUUUCAAACUUUGGUCCUGUCUAGUAUAUUUCGUGCUGUAAGAAUGCACCAACACUUAGGCAAGUCUUGUGAUCAACAGUACACUGACAUGACACCUGCGCAUGUGAUAACAUUCAAUUAAUUUAUUUCCUCAAAUUAUGUUGACAUCAUUAGGUUUUUCGUUGGAGGAGUCAAUUCCAGUUGUUGGAGUCUCCAUGGAGACCCAAUUCAAUUCAUAGUUCAAUUCAUAAGACCCAAUUCAAUUCUCAGCCCUUUUUCAGAAAAAGAAAAAAAAAGUUAGUUGUUGCACAGAAAUAGUGUAGCCAAGCCUAACUGAUGGACUCUGUUGUUGUGAGAUACCAUUUUUUAUCAUCUGUUUGUCUAAUAGUGCUUCUAAGUGAACUUUUCCAAGCUGUAACUGAGCAUUCGGUAAAGCUAAAGGCUGUAUUGAAGGGUAUCGUGUGUUGGUUCGAGUGCACUUGUUAUGGAACUAUGUUUUGUGCUUCACUUCUUUUUACAUGUAUCUCUUUAAUUGGUGUUUUGGGUAAUCCAUGCUCUAGGUGCUUAACAUUAUAGGGCGCAUAUGAUCUUAUGGGAAGAUGUUUUUGAGAAUAUAGUAACAAUGAUUUUGAACCUUUUAUAAAUUUUUCAUUUGGAUAGGUGAGUUUGUGAGACUGAUCCUUUAUUUUAUUUUUUUUAAACUUUUUCCAUACUGAUGAUGCACUGCAACCAAUUGUAUGCAUUUUACUAUUGGAUUAUUCUCUUGUAUAUCUGUUGUAUAUAUUAGUUUUACCGUUUCUGCACUUUUGUUUCUUGCGCAAUUCUGCUACUGUUGCGUUAUGUGGUGUCUAUCUCCUCAUAUAUCUGUUUCAGCACAUUCCCAUUUAUGCACAUGUGUUCAGGUUCAACGCUUCGGAUUUACUGCAUAAUUUUCUCUACUGGUUUAUGUGUCUUAAUUAGGUUUACCACAAAUCCGGUUUUUGUUGGAUUUCUUGGCUGCGCGUGUUUUCUGGUUGUUGUGAUGCCGGCUCUUUUGGUUUCACUUUUGCAGGGUAAAUUCUUGAGGGCUUCCUAAUUGCUUUGUUAGAACCAAGAAGUUAACUGAUUUUUUUUUUUUUUUUUAUCUUCUCUUGCAGUAAACUAUCCUCUUGUAUAUUAUUCUUCUUUCGUUAUGGAUGCAUCAAGUUCAUUACUGAUUCUGAAAAAGGGUGCCCCAUAGACAAUUUUUUUGAGUAUACAAUGGUGAGGCAUUGACGCGGUUCUUUCCAUAUAACUUGGAUAAUAUCUCUUUUUAAAUCAGUAUGUAACUUGGCAUUGACCUCGGACAUGUGAUUGCAGUUGGAGCACAAUAAGAAGGGUCAACUCUUCAGUAUAUUUGAAAUUGCAAGAUUUGGUCCUAUUGGACUGUCUCAUGUAAUGCCUUAGUGUUAUGGUGUUAAUUAGACAAUUGUCUUUCAUAUUCUAUUAUUGGAAACUUUCCAUUCUUUGAUUGAUGAGCUAUAGCUUCCGAAUAUAUUGUUGUUCUGUGAACCCUAUUUUCUCUGAUCAAAUUUUUUCUUUAGGUAAAUUGUUAAAUUCAAUUUUCUGUCAGCUGCGUAACUUUGAUUUUAGCUUGAUCUUCAAUUUUAUUUUGAUGCGGGUGCAUCAUUAUUUUCAUAUAGCAACAAAGGGAUUUAGUUUCAUGGCAUAUGUGUUUUUCUAAUGAUAUGUUCUAUCUCCUAAAACACAUAAAAACGCAGUAGUCUUGAACACAAAGAGGGGUUAAAUCUGUUAUGAUGUUCUAAAGGGGAUUGUUUUGAGUAGUUUAGUAUUUUGACAUCCAUAACAGAACCCUUGAACUUAAUAUCUGGAGCUACCUUUUAAGAAUGAAGCCAAGAAAUCAUAAUAUUGUGCUCUUGUAUAAGCUAUUUGAAUGUACUCCUGAUUGAAGUCAAUAGUGUUAAUAGGAACCACUUCAUAGAAUAUAAACUUUUAAAGAAUCUGGUUUACAAAUUUGAAGUAAAAGCCUAUAUAGUACAAAUUAGGAACUUUUAGCUACAUGGUUAAAUAGCCAUUAGUUUAAAUGUACUCCUUGUAGUUUGAUUUUAGUUUGACUUAUGAGUGUGUAUAUUAUUCACACUUCAUUAUGAGUUUCAUUUAUUGCACCAAUGCACCCUUGAUUUUAGCAAUCAUUUAAAAAAAUUGGAAAAUAGUUAAAAUAUAAAAAUUGGAAAAAUAGUUAAAAGUUAUUAAAAAUCUAAAAAUUUUAAAAUAAUUUAAAAAAAUUAGUUAGGGGUAAAAAUGAAAAUUUAUAGGUCACUGGUGAAUUAGUGAAUUGCCCCUCCUAGGGCCAAAAUUGAAAAUUCAAUGGACAUGUAUUUUUAUAUUAGUAUAUACAUUUAUCUUUCGUAUAAUUUUAUUUAAAUCUUGUCCAGUAAGUGAAGCUCAAUUGGUUGCUACUAGAGACAUUAUGUGAAGUGACCGAGGUUCGAACUCUGAAUUUUUAACUUUUAAAUACUUAAAGUGUGUGAACCUAGUCAGAGAUCUAGCUUACCAAAUAAAAUUCUUAAUAUAUACAAGGGACAAUGCAUUAAAUAUAUGCAAGGUCCAAGUCCAAACUCGGCCGACCACAAAAAAAAAUCUUAAUCAAAAAAAUCAGUUAAUUAUAUAUAGUAGUGCUAGUAAUAUUCUCUUUUCAACACUUUGUUUAACACACACUUUCUUAUUUGUUCAAAUUAUGGUGAAUCUCACACUUUGAAAGUUUCAUUUAAAGUGGUGGAUCAUGUAUUGAUUUCAUCCAAUUAAAAAAUGAGUGUUGAAAAGUUAAUGUCUUUAACAUUCCUCUUUAUUAUAAUGAUUUUUGUAUAUUCCAAAAAAAAUAAAAAAUGAGCAAAUUGUCACUUUAGUACUUGACUCUGCACCUCGUUGUCACAAAGGUCAUGACUCAUAAUUAAACAAAAUAGUAUCUGACUCUGCACUUCCUUCAUCACUUUAGUUUCUAGCGUUAAAUAAUUAUGUUAAGUGAUGAUGUCACACAUUUUACGAUGACAUGACAUAUAAGGUGUCACAUGAAAUAAAGUUAAAGUAGAAACAUAGAUUUUUGUAGUUGUAAUUGUACAUUGUCAAGGACCUUACUGACAAUAAGUGUCUACUGUCAGAGACCUUAGUGACAGUAAGUAGACACAGUCAGGGGCCUUAGUUCUAUGUUUUUUUUUUAUAUUUUCACUUAAGUCCUUAACACCUCAUAUGUCAUGUCAUCGAAAAACUUAACAAAAUCAUCGAACGUCAAAGACUAAAGUGAUAAGGUGCUCAAAGACCUAUUUGUAUUUAAUCAUGAAUAAAGACAUGUAUAACAAAUAAAGGGAUUUGCUCAACUCCGACGUUAUUUUAGAGCUGAAUGCAAUGCAAAGGAAAUACCAAAUCUCUUGAAUUGAACUUCUCUCUCAUCCAUCGUUUUAAUUUUCAUUCAUUCACAGUACAGUAUGUCAUUCUUCUUAGGGUCAACAACAAGGUACGCUCUCUUUUCUCUUCCAACCAGUAUUCUUCUUCGUCAUCGUCGACUAUACUCAUUCAAAUUCAAUCACCCUCUUCCUCCCUUCAUUGACAAUGUUGAUCAUGCUAUUUCCUCUUUCAAUCGCAUCCUUCAUAUGAACAAUCCUACUCAACCCAUCUUUGAAUUUAACAAGAUCUUAUCUUCUCUUGUUAAGUUGAACCAUUUCCACACUGCUAUUUCCUUUUCUAAACAAAUGGAACUCAAACAAAUUCAACCUGACUUAUUUACUUUCAACAUCUUGAUUAAUUGUUUCUGCCACUUGGGCCACCUCAAUUUUGCUUUUUCUGUAUUGGCCAAGAUUCUCAAGCUAGGGUUUCAGCCUAAUACUGUAACAAUCACUACACUUAUCAAAGGUCUAUGUC
rnacentral:lncRNA from 1 species